rnacentral:rRNA from 1 species
CCUACGGGUGGCAGCAGUGGGGAAUAUUGCACAAUGGGGGAAACCCUGAUGCAGCGACGCCGCGUGAAGGAAGAAGUAUUUCGGUAUGUAAACUUCUAUCAGCAGGGAAGAAAAUGACGGUACCUGACUAAGAAGCCCCGGCUAACUACGUGCCAGCAGCCGCGGUAAUACGUAGGGGGCAAGCGUUAUCCGGAUUUACUGGGUGUAAAGGGAGCGUAGGCGGUUCAGCAAGUCAGAAGUGAAAGCCCGGGGCUCAACUCCGGGACUGCUUUUGAAACUGUUGAACUAGAUUGCAGGAGAGGUAAGUGGAAUUCCUAGUGUAGCGGUGAAAUGCAUAGAUAUCACGCAGAACUCCGAUUGCGAAGGCAGCGUACCGGCGCCCAACUGACGCUGAGGCACGAAAGCGUGGGGAUCGAACAGGAUUAGAUACCCGUGUAGUC